rnacentral:rRNA from 1 species
GAUUAGCCUGUAUUGUAUCAGUUAGUUGGUGGGGUAAUGGCUUACCAAGACUAUGACACAUAACUGGUUUGAGAGGAUGAUCAGUCACACUGGAACUGAGACACGGUCCAGACUCCUACGGGAGGCAGCAGUGGGGAAUAUUGCACAAUGGACGAAAGUCUGAUGCAGCAACGCCGUGUGGAGGAUGACACAUUUCGGUGCGUAAACUCCUUUUAUAUGAGAAGAUAAUGACGGUAUUAUAUGAAUAAGCACCGGCUAACUCCGUGCCAGCAGCCGCGGUAAUACGGGGGGUGCAAGCGUUACUCGGAAUCACUGGGCGUAAAGAGCAUGUAGGCGGAUUAAUAAGUUUGAAGUGAAAUCCUAUAGCUUAACUAUAGAACUGCUUUGAAAACUGUUAAUCUAGAAUGUAGGGAGAGGUAGAUGGAAUUUCUGGUGUAGGGGUAAAAUCCGUAGAGAUCAGAAGGAUACGAUUGCGAAGGCGAUCUACUGG